CCUACGGGAGGCAGCAGUGAGGAAUAUUGGUCAAUGGGCGCGAGCCUGAACCAGCCAAGUAGCGUGAAGGAUGACUGCCCUACGGGUUGUAAACUUCUUUUAUAGAGGAAUAAAGUGAGGCACGUGUGCCUUUUUGUAUGUACUUUAUGAAUACGGAUCGGCUAACUCCGUGCCAGCAGACGCGGUAAUACGGAGGAUCCGAGCGUUAUCCGGAUUUAUUGGGUUUAAAGGGAACGUAGAUGGGUUGUUAAGUCAGUUGUGAAAGUUUGCGGCUCAACCGUAACAGUGCAAUUGAUACUGGCAGUCGUGAGUACAGUUGAGGUAGGUGGAAUUCGUGGUGUAGCGGUGAAAUGCUUAGAUAUCACGAAGAACUCCGAUUGCGAAGGCAGCUUACUAAACUGCCACUGACAUUGAUGCUCGAAAGUGUGGGUAGCAAACAGGAUUAGAUACCCGAGUAGUC
rnacentral:rRNA from 1 species